GCAGUCGAGCGGGGAAGGUUGCUUCGGUAACUGACCUAGCGGCGGACGGGUGAGUAAUGCUUAGGAAUCUGCCUAUUAGUGGGGGACAACAUCUCGAAAGGGAUGCUAAUACCGCAUACGUCCUACGGGAGAAAGCAGGGGACCUUCGGGCCUUGCGCUAAUAGAUGAGCCUAAGUCGGAUUAGCUAGUUGGUGGGGUAAAGGCCUACCAAGGCGACGAUCUGUAGCGGGUCUGAGAGGAUGAUCCGCCACACUGGGACUGAGACACGGCCCAGACUCCUACGGGAGGCAGCAGUGGGGAAUAUUGGACAAUGGGGGGAACCCUGAUCCAGCCAUGCCGCGUGUGUGAAGAAGGCCUUUUGGUUGUAAAGCACUUUAAGCGAGGAGGAGGCUACUGGUAUUAAUACUACCGGAUAGUGGACGUUACUCGCAGAAUAAGCACCGGCUAACUCUGUGCCAGCAGCCGCGGUAAUACAGAGGGUGCGAGCGUUAAUCGGAUUUACUGGGCGUAAAGCGUGCGUAGGCGGCUUUUUAAGUCGGAUGUGAAAUCCCUGAGCUUAACUUAGGAAUUGCAUUCGAUACUGGGAGGCUAGAGUAUGGGAGAGGAUGGUAGAAUUCCAGGUGUAGCGGUGAAAUGCGUAGAGAUCUGGAGGAAUACCGAUGGCGAAGGCAGCCAUCUGGCCUAAUACUGACGCUGAGGUACGAAAGCAUGGGGAGCAAACAGGAUUAGAUACCCUGGUAGUCCAUGCCGUAAACGAUGUCUACUAGCCGUUGGGGCCUUUGAGCUUUAGUGGCGCAGCUAACGCGAUAAGUAGACCGCCUGGGGAGUACGGUCGCAAGACUAAAACUCAAAUGAAUUGACGGGGGCCCGCACAAGCGGUGGAGCAUGUGGUUUAAUUCGAUGCAACGCGAAGAACCUUACCUGGUCUU
rnacentral:rRNA from 1 species